UACAGAGGGUGCGAGCGUUAAUCGGAAUUACUGGGCGUAAAGCGUGCGUAGACGGUUAUUUAAGUCGGGUGUGAAAGCCCCGGGCUCAACCUGGGAAUUGCAUUCGAGACUGAAUAGCUAGGGUACGGUAGAGGGAAGUGGAAUUUCCGGUGUAGCGGUGAAAUUCGUAGAUAUCGGGAGGAACACCAGUGGCGAAGGCGACUACCUGGCCUGUUUCUUGACGCUGAGGCGCGAAAGCUAGGGGAGCAAACGGG
rnacentral:rRNA from 1 species